rnacentral:rRNA from 1 species
AACGAACGCUGGCGGCAUGCCUAACACAUGCAAGUCGAACGAGACCUUCGGGUCUAGUGGCGCACGGGUGCGUAACGCGUGGGAACCUGCCCUUAGGUUCGGAAUCACUCCCCGAAAGGGGUGCUAAUACCGGAUAAUGUCUUCGGACCAAAGAUUUAUCGCCUUUGGAUGGGCCCGCGUUGGAUUAGCUAGUUGGUAGGGUAAAAGCCUACCAUGGCGACGUUCCAUAGCUGGUCUGAGAGGAUGAUAAUCCACACUGGGACUGAGACACGGCCCAGCCUCCUACGGGAGGCAGCAGUGGGGAAUAUUGGACGAUGGGCGAAAGCCUGAUCCAGCAAUGCCGCGUGAGUGAUGAAGGCCUUAGGGUUGUAAAGCUCUUUUACCCGGGAUGAUAAUGACAGUACCGGGAGAAUAAGCUCCGGCUAACUCCGUG